rnacentral:lncRNA from 1 species
CCGAAUCGCCGCGGAUCCGGUUCAAUCAUUCUACAACUGUUUGCGGAAGAUAUAAACAUAGAUUGUUUAUACAUUAAAAUUUACACACUAUUCCCAAAAUUGAGUAACCUUAACUAAUACACAAUCGUGAACUGUCUAACACAUGACAAUACUAUUCUUCAACAUACUUUACAACUUAACUUCACAUUCUAUCCCAAGCUGAACUUGGCAUUAUCCUUUUCCUGUAUCUGGCCGUAUUCGCCUUAUCUGCAAUGUUUUAUCA